AUUGAACGCUGGCGGCAGGCUUAGCACAUGCAAGUCGAACGAGUGGCGGACGGGUGAGUAAUGCUUGGGAAUCUAGCUUAUGGAGGGGGAUAACUACGGGAAACUGUAGCUAAUCCCGCGUACCAUCGGAUGAGCCCAAGUGGGAUUAGGUAGUUGGUGAGGUAAAGGCUAACCAAGCCGACGAUCUCUAGCGGGGCUGGGAGGAUGACCGGCCACCCUGGGACUGAGAAACGGACCAGCCUCCUACGGUAGGCGGAAGUGGGGAAUAUUGCGCAUGGGGGGCAACCUGACGCAGCCAGGCCGCGGGAAUGAAGAAGGCCUUCGGUUUGUAAAGUUCUUUCGGUAGCAAGGCGUUAACUACAGAAGAAGCACCGGCUAACUCCGUGCCAGCAGCCGCGGUAAUAC
rnacentral:rRNA from 1 species